CCACUGUACCAAACUAUUGCUGCUGCCACCAUUAAUGAGCUGCUCUUGUCCAUCUUUUUGAAAAUUCCAUGAAAAUGAUACUCCUUCAAACGGUUCUUUUCUCAAGAUCUCCAACAAUCGAAGUUCUUCAAUUGGUUCCUUCAGAUCGGAAGUUUGGGAAUACCAACCAAGGUAAAUCAGCAGUCGCAUAGAUGCUUCUCAUUUCAUUUAUACGGGACUGCCUAAUUUCAGUUACUUCUCUUACAUAUAAUUAUCACAUAAACACAUCAAAAAAAAAAUCAAAAAAAAUAAAAACCUCAACUUGUUUUAAAAAAAGACAAGAAGUCGAAUCAAAGCCCGAAGAAGCAGAUAAAAGCCUUUCCCUUUCAAAUCGCCUUCGAACGAGGCCAAUCUAUUCAAAUAUGAAUUCUAUAGGAGAAAAGGAAAUCAUUGAUCCCCAUAAAGCUAUAAAGCUAUCUUUUGAAUCUGGAUCCAAAAAGCUAACCUAAAUAAAAAUCACUCUCUAGUCCACAAGUAAAAAACUAAACUUUUAUAUAAAAAAAAAAAAACCAUGUUACUUAUUGUUUUAGAGUUCUACAUUUGAAAUUUCAUUGAAAAAGAAGUUAAAAUCGAUCUAGAAAUCAUCAAAUUAUCAAAUCUUAACUUUGAUGAAAAACCUCCAAAUUUUUUCUGGAAUAGUUAGUGGGUAAUGAUGAAAAAUUUAAUUAGAGACGUAUCCAAAAAAGAAAUCUUAAAAAAUCACAUUUUGAAUCUCUCUAAAUCAAAGAUCUGAGGCUCUAAGCUUAAAAAAUGAUGAAAAUAAGGACUUAACGAAAAAAGAUUUUUAAUCAAUGUUACUCUAUCCCCUUUUGCGAACACGAGAGACCUAUUGCGAACAUGACCAAAUCUCCGAGAAUGCAAUGACCAAUUGACCUAAAUUGAACUAACCCCCUACCCUUCGCAAAUUUAACUCCAACCACCGCAGACAUGACAACCAUCUGACUCCCUUCUUUGCAAAAGUGACACAAGUUAGGAUAUACUAUUAACCAUGUAGUUUGAGUUAUAGUAUUAUAUUUUCAUCCCAUGUAAAGAUAAUUUACUAUAUUAAUAAAAUCGUUAUUUUAAUA